rnacentral:ncRNA from 1 species
AAGAGAAUUAUUAGAUCAAAAUAAGAGGAAAGGGUAUUAAAUGAAAAUAGAUGUAAAAUUUUAAAUAGGGGGUUGGUUUAAAAAGUUGCAUUGGUUAUUUUCAGUAUUUAAAAUUAAUAAGAUUAUUGGGGGGUAAUUUUAGUUAAUUUAAUACAAUAGGGGUAAAAUGAUGUGCCAGCAUUCGCGGUUAAACAUCAUCCUUGAAUCUUUAAUUUUAAAGGGGAAUAUAAUAUAUAAUUGAAUUUAAUUUGUUUUAAUGGGGGUGAAAUAAAUUAAAGUAAAUUUAUAUAAAAAGUUUUCAAAAUUUUGGGUUUAAACUAGGAUUAGAUACCCUAUUAUUCAAAUUUAAUAAAAAAAUUUUUUUAGUAUUUUGGUUACACAAAAAAUUAAAUUGAUUUGGCGGUUUUUUAAACUUUUUAGAGGAACCUGUAAAUUAAUUUGAUAAGCCACGAUUUAAUUAACCUUAAUUAUCUUGUAUAUCUCUAUAAUUGAAUAUAAUUUGAGUUAAAUUUUCUUUUUUUUAAUUUAAAUGUAAUUUAGGUCAAGGUGCAGUUAUAUUUAGGGUGAAAUGGGUUACAAUAAUUUUUGUUUGUGGAUUUUAAGUUUAAAUUUUUUUGAAAUUGGAUUUAAAAGUAAAAUUUUUUAUUUAAAAAUUAGAAUAAUGCUCUGAUUUAUGUACAUAUCGCCCGUCAUUCUCAUUAAGUGAGACAAGUCGUAACAAAGUAGAUGUAUUGGAAAAUGUAUCUAG